UUCAAUGAACCAAAAGCAACUUAAAUACGCUAGAAUUUGCUUCCUUUUGUGUCCUUGCUUGGCGAAGUUAACCACUCCUAUCUCCAACGCAAAAUGAAGCUGUCGAAUCGCCUCUCUGACUGUUUCAAAAGAUUAGUCAAAUUAAAUGUGCAUGUUUCUUGUUGUGCAUAGUCUAAAAGACACUUUACUGGAAAUUCCUUGUAAAUGAGAAUCGUACCCUUCAAAUAAGAACUCCACUGGAUCAAUAGAAAUAAAAACCAGUGUUCAAUGUAUCACCGGCUGAAAUCAGAAGUAGGAUUCCAACAGCUACACUAAUGAACUGAAAAUAUAAACAACCUAAUUACAACAAUCUCACACAAAAUCAAAGAAACUUAGGUAUCAACUAAAUAGACCAAGGUUUCCGUUUGACCAAUAAAAUCCAAUAACCUAUACCAGAGGUCAGACCAAUACUUAGACCAAGUUAGGGCUUAAACCCUAAACCCUAAAUCAAUCGAAACUGAACCAAA
rnacentral:lncRNA from 1 species